ACAUUAUAUGUUGUUGGUAUUAUC
rnacentral:siRNA from 1 species